rnacentral:rRNA from 1 species
GAUGAACGCUGGCGGCGUGCCUAAUACAUGCAAGUCGAGCGAACAGACGAGGAGCUUGCUCCUCUGACGUUAGCGGCGGACGGGUGAGUAACACGUGGAUAACCUACCUAUAAGACUGGGAUAACUUCGGGAAACCGGAGCUAAUACCGGAUAAUAUAUUGAACCGCAUGGUUCAAUAGUGAAAGACGGUUUUGCUGUCACUUAUAGAUGGAUCCGCGCCGCAUUAGCUAGUUGGUAAGGUAACGGCUUACCAAGGCAACGAUGCGUAGCCGACCGUGGGGGGUGAUCGGCCACACUGGAACUGAGACGCGGUCCAGACUCCUACGGGAGGCAGCAGUAGGGAAUCUUCCGCAAUGGGCGAAAGCCUGUCGGAGCAACGCCGCGUGAGUGAUGAAGGUCUUCGGAUCGUAGAACUCUGUUAUUAGGGAAGAACAAAUGUGUAAGUAACUAUGCACGUCUUGACGGUACCUAAUCAGAAAGCCACGGCUAACUACGUGCCAGCCGCCGCCGUAA